rnacentral:rRNA from 1 species
UACGUAGGUGGCGAGCGUUGUCCGGAAUUACUGGGUGUAAAGGGCGCGUAGGUGGGAGAACAAGUCAGAUGUGAAAUUCCCAGGCUUAACUUGGGCGCUGCAUCUGAAACUGUUUUUCUUGAGUGCUGGAGAGGAAAGCGGAAUUCCUAGUGUAGCGGUGAAAUGCGUAGAUAUUAGGAGGAACACCAGUGGCGAAGGCGGCUUUCUGGACAGUAACUGACACUGAGGCGCGAAAGCGUGGGGAG